UCUCGUCACCCCGAGGUGGAUGACCCCUUGAGCAUUCCGGUCGACGAGGAGUCGUUGGUCCUGUCGGGGCACGGGCGUCCGCAUGGCCGUUUCCCUUGGAUGAAUAAGGCGGUCUAGCCUACCCACUCCACGAGCUACACGCGCCUCAAGCAUACCCUCACCGCCGACAGCCCCCAGCCUCGUCCACGGCCUGCUCGUCCACCCGCCUACGAUCCUGACUUCGAGGCGGCCUUCGAAGCCUGCAAUGAAGCGUAUCAGCAGGCCGCUGCCCAGUGGAAUAGGCAGAAUACGGCCUAUAUGACGUAUAUAUCAGAAAUGAUGAUCUCUAUGUCUACUGGUACACCGCCACCGGCUCGAGUUGCCGUGGCGGGGGACAUGCCUAUCAUGCCAUCGAGGGCAGCUUUCGCUGCGACUUACUACGGAUCCACACCGGAGGGAACGGGAUGGUCCGGGAACCAGGCAUCGCCGGGUGGGCGCGAGGUCACACCGGUUCAUGAAGGUGGUCGGUCUCCUGGGCGUUCUGCUGGUGUCUCUCCGUCGACUACUCCUGGGACUACUCCCGGUGCCUCUCCGUCGAC